AUGUUGAAUAUCAACAAUGGGUUUCGGUGCUGUAUUGUUGAGUUUUGUAUGAACUAAUCUUGCUUCACUAAAAAAGACCUACAGCUUGGACAAAAGUCUAUAGCCAGUGCAUUCCUAGCUCCCCUUACACUAAAGCAGGCUGAGGCAGAGGGGAAGACAUGUUAGUCUUGUGCUCUUCUAGUUGCUAAAGCGCAGAGCUGCCGGGCUGUGGGAGUCAUGAGGCGGCCCUGCUUCACUCAGUAUGGGCUCAGGGGGAGACCACCAUGGAUGUGUCUGCAGGUCUAGGCCCUAAGAGCAGUGCGGGGGAAAGGGGUAGCGAGCAAAGGACCAGCGUUCAGCGAGGAGCAUGAGCGGCAGUACGCUGAAGUAGGAGCACUAGCUCUUGUGAAAAAUCUGCGGACUAGGGGGCUAGUAAAGAGGGAGAGAUGCCCAGAGAGCAUACAGCUGUUUCGGUCGAGCGAGAGCGAGUUCUCCGGCGGCUGAAGAGUGGUUCUUGAAUCGGACAGAUGAUGUUCCAUCCUCUUUUCUGCCAAUCACCCAAAGAUGAGGACAACACCCAAACUGGCACGAUAACAGCACUGUAUAAGAAGAGGACCCAAUGGUUCCAAAAGGCCUGGUGUUGCUCUUCCGCCGUCCGCCCAGAGUCUGCCGCAGCUAUUUGGACAGCAACAGGUGAAAAGGUGAGAGGAGGUUGCUGAAAUCCAUAUGACCAAGACACACCUGUCUGUCCAGGAGACGGAUACCUCACCAGAUAUGUUUUCCCUGCCAUAGUUGUGAUAAUUGGAUUUUCUGGACACCUGUAUGAGUGCAGUAUAUCCAGCGGAUUAUAACCAGGGAAAGGGUGUCUUUCUGACAUUCUUGAUGCACAUCCAAUGAUGAGUGGGUGAUGGAGGUCCCUCUGCUGUAACCCUGACCUCCAGAGCAUAAUGACCGCUCCAAAGACAGGACCUAAGGAAAGAUGAGUCAAAUGAAACCCAUCUAGACACCACUGCUUCUGCUGCAAACAUGAUGGCAUGAUCUGUCUCUGUGAAGACAAAAACUAUGUACCUGUUGUGCAAUUCUCAGAUCAUAUGGUUCAUUUUGAAACGGUUAAACUGAAACAGUGAAACGUUUUACCAAUAGAGGUUACGCUGCUUAUGAUAUGAACUGUAUCGUCCGUUGAUGUAUUAUAUUUCAUGAUGUUACAUAUCUUCAAUAAAUGUAUUGGUGUAUUUGGUAGAAA